AUGUUACCGCAAUAGUAAUUGAACUUAGUACGAGAGGAACAGUUCAUUCGGAUAAUUGGUUUUUGCGGCUGUCUGAUCAGGCAUUGCCGCGAAGCUACCAUCCGCUGGAUUAUGGCUGAACGCCUCUAAGUCAGAAUCCAUGCUAGAACGCGGUGAUUUCUUUGCUCCACACAAUAUAGAUGGAUACGAAUAAGGCGUCCUUGUGGCGUCGCUGAACCAUAGCAGGCUAGCAACGGUGCACUUGGCGGAAAGGCCUUGGGUGCUUGCUGGCGAAUUGCAAUGUCAUUUUGCGUGGGGAUAAAUCAUUUGUAUACGACUUAGAUGUACAACGGGGUAUUGUAAGCAGUAGAGUAGCCUUGUUGUUACGAUCUGCUGAGAUUAAGCCUAGAUCGGAAGAGNN
rnacentral:rRNA from 16 species